rnacentral:tRNA from 2 species
CGAAGAAUGGUUUAAAACGAGAGAAUACUGGCUUUGGGAGCCAGAGGUGGGAGUGAAAGUCUCCUUUCUUUGA